GACGUAGGGCGCGAGCGUUGUCCGGAUUUAUUGGGCGUAAAGAGCUCGUAGGCGGCUUGUCGCGUCGUCCGUGAAAACUUGGGGCUCAACCCCAAGCUUGCGGUCGAUACGGGCAGGCUAGAGUUCGGUAGGGGAGACUGGAAUUCCUGGUGUAGCGGUGAAAUGCGCAGAUAUCAGGAGGAACACCGGUGGCGAAGGCGGGUCUCUGGGCCGAUACUGACGCUGAGGAGCGAAAGCGUGGGUAGCAAACAGG
rnacentral:rRNA from 1 species